GGGGGCUUAGUUAAAUGGUAUAAUAGGCGUCUCCAAAACGCCGGUUGGGGGUCCGAUUCCCUCAGCCCCCG
rnacentral:tRNA from 3 species